GGGGCUGUAGCUCAUUGGUAGAGCGAAUGCCUCACAUGUGUGAGGCAUAGGGUUCGAUCCUCAGCACCA
rnacentral:tRNA from 1 species